rnacentral:rRNA from 1 species
CACUAUGCUUAGCCCUAAACACAGAUAUUAACCCACUUUUUUAUCCGCCCGGGUACUACGAGCAUCAGCUUAAAACCCAAAGGACUUGGCGGUGCUUUAGAUCCACCUAGAGGAGCCUGUUCUAGAACCGAUAAUCCCCGUUCAACCUCACCUUUCCUUGCCUAAUCCGCCUAUAUACCGCCGUCGUCAGCUUACUCUGUGAAGAUCCCGUAGUAAGCAUAAUCGGCACAGCCUAAAACGUCAGGUCGAGGUGUAGCGAAUGGAAAGGGAAGAAAUGGGCUACAUUCAAUAACUUAUAAUGAAUACGAAUGGCACCCUGAAAAAAGUGCCUGAAGGAGGAUUUAGUAGUAAGCAGAGAGUAGAGUGCUCUGCUGAAAUUGGCCCUGAAGCGCGUACACACCGCCCGUCACUCUCCCCGAGCUAACACAGACAUUUCUUAAAAAGUAAAAACUGCAAAGGGGAGGCAAGUCGUAA